AUUCUUUGGUGUCUGUGCAAAUACCUAUAUGUAGGCGAAACUAAAAACGACUUUCGGACAAGACUGAAUCAACAUAGGUACUCAAUCAGAAAAAAACGUGUAGACCUCCCUGUGUCCAAACACUUCAUUGAAGCUGGACACACGGAGGCCGAUCUUAAAUGCAUGAUUGUUGAUCAUAUUCCUCCCCCCAAAAUAGGGGGUGAUAGAAUAGCUCUCCGGCAAGUCAGAGAACUCAAGUGGAUCCACAACCUGAAUACACUCAAACCCAAUGGGCUCAAUGUUGAGUUCACUGUGCUACCUAAAAUGUUGAAGCGUUAAUGGGUCUAGCCCGAGAUGUUGGUGUACAUCAACCCUGCUUAAGGUGAAUAGUGAUCAAUUCCUGUAAUUAACUUGACUUAUUUCUUUUUAGUUCACAUGCCUUCCAGGUACCUGCCUUGAUGUCAAGCCACGCCACAAGCUUCAUCUUACAUACUAUCGCAUUCUAACUUUGACUCUUCUACCCCUGUGGAGACAGCAUACAACCAUCACUUUAUAUAUUCUUCUCUUUGGUGACGUGCUUUACAGACCACCAUCAUACGGAUAUCGGUCCAAAUACACCGAUGCAAGAUUGCUCCACAGACGAGGACGAAUUUAUGGCUCCGGUUCAUGCACACCGUUUGCUAGUUUGCCAGUCGGUUACCAUGGGCAACCACGAGAUAGUGAUUCUUCACUAUAUGGCUCCUAUAUUGGAAGAAUGAGGACCAGCGAUUGCAGCAAACUACUUUCUCUACUUAAUCAUCUAUAUCCCCCACUGUGAUACAUUGUGCUGUCCCCAGGAGCGAUACUUUUUCUUGCGCAUACAUCUAGAUCACACCUACCUCAUAUGAACUCUCUAUACCAGGCGCUUGAAUAUCUUGUACGGAUACACAGAAAGACUCUUCUGAGCAUAUGCUGGUCACGGCUCACUCCGGAGUCGGGUCUCUAUGGAUACGAGGACGCGCUCUCCCGACCCGGAAGUACUUCUUUUCUGCUGCGAUGCACAUUACACACACGGCGCUUUGGCGCCAGGGAUCAGGAAACCUCGUGGCGGGACCGCUGAAGGCAUU